UACGUAGGGUGCAAGCGUUAAUCGGAAUUACUGGGCGUAAAGCGUGCGCAGGCGGUUAUGUAAGACAGGUGUGAAAUCCCCGGGCUUAACCUGGGAAUGGCAUUUGUGACUGCAUAGCUAGAGUGUGUCAGAGGGGGGUAGAAUUCCACGUGUAGCAGUGAAAUGCGUAGAGAUGUGGAGGAAUACCUAUGGCGAAGGCAGCUCCCUGGGAUAACACUGACGCUCAUGCACGAAAGCGUGGGGAGCAAACAGG
rnacentral:rRNA from 1 species